rnacentral:rRNA from 1 species
GAUGAACGCUGGCGGCGUGCCUAAUACAUGCAAGUAGAACGCUGAAGCUUGGUGCUUGCACCGAGCGGAUGAGUUGCGAACGGGUGAGUAACGCGUAGGUAACCUGCCUCUUAGCGGGGGAUAACUAUUGGAAACGAUAGCUAAUACCGCAUAAAAGUCGAUAUCGCAUGAUAUUGAUUUGAAAGAUGCAAUUGCAUCACUAAGAGAUGGACCUGCGUUGUAUUAGCUAGUUGGUGAGGUAACGGCUCACCAAGGCGACGAUACAUAGCCGACCUGAGAGGGUGAUCGGCCACACUGGGACUGAGACACGGCCCAGACUCCUACGGGAGGCAGCAGUAGGGAAUCUUCGGCAAUGGGGGCAACCCUGACCGAGCAACGCCGCGUGAGUGAAGAAGGUUUUCGGAUCGUAAAGCUCUGUUGUAAGAGAAGAACGAGUGUGAGAGUGGAAAGUUCACACUGUGACGGUAACUUACCAGAAAGGGACGGCUAACUACGUGCCAGCAGCCGCGGUAAUACGUAGGUCCCGAGCGUUAUCCGGAUUUAUUGGGCGUAAAGCGAGCGCAGGCGGUUAGAUAAGUCUGAAGUUAAAGGCUGUGGCUUAACCAUAGUACGCUUUGGAAACUGUUUAACUUGAGUGCAGAAGGGGAGAGUGGAAUUCCAUGUGUAGCGGUGAAAUGCGUAGAUAUAUGGAGGAACACCGGUGGCGAAAGCGGCUCUCUGGUCUGUAACUGACGCUGAGGCUCGAAAGCGUGGGGAGCAAACAGG